UUAGGUUCUACCAGUCCAACCUUAGAUCCAACCUUAAUUUUACCCAUAGGAUAGGAUCACCAUGGAGUCUGACCUUAGGUGUUAGUAUAGUCCAACCCAGUGUCUAGGACUAACUUAUAACCUUAGAGUUUACUCUAUAGAGCUUACCCUUAGAAGUCCUAUAGUCCAGUGUCUACCCAAUAGUGUGUCCACCCAGUUCAGUAGUGUGUCUAAGAUUAGAUAAUUAGGUAGUUAUACAACCC
rnacentral:lncRNA from 1 species